AACGAGAAUAUACACAGACUUACAAA
rnacentral:rasiRNA from 1 species